ACCACCAUGGCACAGAGGUUUGAGUGUUGGACUACAACUCUGGAGAUCAGGGUUUGAUUCCCACUUGGCCAUG